rnacentral:rRNA from 1 species
AACGCGAAGAACCUUACCAGGGUUUGACAUCCUGCGAAUCUCUUGGAAACGAGAGAGUGCCUUCGGGAACGCAGUGACAGGUGGUGCAUGGCUGUCGUCAGCUCGUGUCGUGAGAUGUUGGGUUAAGUCCCGCAACGAGCGCAACCCACGUCGUUAGUUGCCAGCAUUUAGUUGGGCACUCUAAUGAGACCGCCGGUGAUAAACCGGAGGAAGGUGUGGAUGACCUCAAGUCAUCAUGCCCCUUACAUCCUGGGCUACACACGUACUACAAUGCUACGGACAAAGGGCAGCAAACUCGCGAGAGCUAGCAAAUCCCAUAAACCGUGGCUCAAUUCAGAUCGUAGGCUGCAACUCCCCUACGUGAAGGAGGAAUCGCUAGUAUUCACAGGUCACCAUACUGCUUUGAAUACGUUCACCGGGCCUUGUACACACCG